CCGUCUACUAUUCAACAUCUAAAGCUGCACUUAACCCAUUAGCGCCCAUCGAUCUAUUUAUAGAUCAGAACAAAAACCCAAUGUUUACUUCGCCGGAUAAGUACCAACAGUCAUUUUAUUCACCACUUAUGUUUGUUUACACCCUAACACGCAUAGAUUUUAUGUUAGUUGAACUUCGUCAACAAACGGGCUCGAACGGUUCGAUUUCUUAAAUAUCAAUAUUUUUACGGCGGUGUCAUCUCAGAUAUUUGUUAGUGUUUCUCAAAAGCUUCUUUAGGUAAGUCAGUUAUAUUUUUUAUAUAAGUUUAGAAGUGAUGUACGAAACUAACUAAAAAUCCUGAAAAAAAAUUUACACCUGUCAAUUUUUUACCGUUAUUUACUUUUUUCUAGAUUUGAAUAAUGAGUAAAACCGUUUUCAAAACUCUGGAAGAAGCUGCUGAAUAUUUAUAUUCCGAACAAAUAGAAGCAGCCUCCGGAAGUAUAUGAAUUAACCGAUGAAGAAAUUGUCAAUAAUGGAGAUACAGGAAUUCCUGAUGUAUCGGAUUUUGCCGGGUAUGUUGAAAUUCAAAGAAACGAAGAUGGAGAUAAAAGUGAAGAUGAAGACUACUUGCCAUUAUCAUUUCUAUUACCACAAAAAAGAUCAAAGAUGGGUAAACCAGGCAAACUUGUCACCAGCUGGGCCGAAAUUGAUCCCGUAUAUGACACUUUUGAACCGGAGCAAGACUAUAUAGAAAAAGAAAAUGAACUCAAAACCACAUUGAAUCAACUUUCUGCCGUGAAUAUAUUUGACACAACACUUCUUUGAUACCAAAACAUUUGAUAUUAUUACUCAAGAAACAGUAAGAUAUGCAGUUACACAAAAAAAUAAGCACGGAUUUAUCAUAACCCCAGAUGAUAUAAAGAUUUUUAUUGGUUUUCUUAUAUUCAGUGGAUACCAUACCUUGCCCUCGUAGAGAGACUAUUGGUCUGAUGAUGAUGAUUUAGGACAAGCGAUUGUAAAGAAUGCUAUGAGCAGAAGCAGUUUCAAUAGGUUCUAAUUUUGAUGCAAUCAAGCCAGUGGCCACAGUAUCCCGGUUGAACCGGGCUCAAAAAGCUCGUUUUUUAGUAAAUCAGCCAAAAGUUAUUUAUAACUAUAAUCGAUUUAUGGGAGGAGUGGACCACCAUGACUGGCUUCUAGAAAAGCAUUCGAUUGCUAUAAGAGGAAAGAAGUGAAAAGUGCAUGGAAAACAUUAUAUUACAAUAAAGGAUUUUCGACGUCAAAUUGCAGUCAGUUACCUCAAAAUUGGACAUGGACGAAGUGUUAUGAGAAGCAGACCUUUUACUUUUCCAACAACUUCAACAGCACAUGUACCUGAUAAUGUAAGGUUGAAUGAAAAAUGGCAUUUGCUAGAGGAAAGAGGUGAUCAGCGACGUUGCCAGUAUCCGGGCUGUAAGAACCGUCUGCUUACCUUCUGUAAAAAGUGUGACGUUACACUAUGUGUAACUUGCUUUGCCAAGUUUCAUCGCAAAAUUUGAAUAAAAUUGUUAAAUAAUUUAGAAUAAAGCCUUUUGUAAGUUUACGACACAUAAUUGUAUUUUUCUCCCAGCGAUCUAUUUAUAGAUCAACAACAUAUAGAUAUGAAAACAAAUCAAAAAUUAAAAAAACGGGUAUAUAAGUUGAGUGUCAUAGAUUUUUCAUGAUACAUAAAUUGAGGUUUUCUGCAAAUUUUCCUUAAAAAAUUAAUUUGGGCGUUACUGGGUUAAUUGGUAUCCGAUAUGUUAUUGUUUUUUUUCUGUUCAG